rnacentral:rRNA from 1 species
UACAGAGGUCCCAAGCGUUGUUCGGAUUCACUGGGCGUAAAGGGUGCGUAGGUGGUGAGGUAAGUCGGAUGUGAAAGCUCCGAGCUCAACUCGGAAAUGGCAUUGGAAACUACCUUGCUCGAGGGUUUGAGGGGGGACUGGAAUACUUGGUGUAGCAGUGAAAUGCGUAGAUAUCAAGAGGAACACCUGCGGCGAAGGCGGGUUGCUGGGCCGACACUGACGCUGAGGCGCGAAAGCCAGGGGAGCGAACGGG